UCUUGUACUCCCCUGUCUGCUCUCUGCCUCUCUCUACCUUGCUCCGUGCUUGGACGAGGAUGGGGCUGACUCUCCAGACUUUAUCACUCAGGCGCCAUGGGCUCCAGCUCCUAGUUGAUUUCAACAAGGGGAAGUGCCAACAAGAGUUUGGAAGGCAAAAGGAGAGUGAGACUAAGCCUUUUUCAACAAGACCAGACCAUGGAGGAGUGGCAAAGAACCCAGAGCCGUGGCUUUAGAUGGAAAUUUCUAGAAUGGAGUGUUAUAUAAAUUUUUUCCUACACACUGACUGGCUUGAAGAUAAUUACUUUAGAAACAUUGGUCCUUUAAAUAUUCCUCUGCAUGUCUGAUGUUGCCGUUUCCCUGAGAAGCCCAUUUGUGUAUAAGCCUGAGCGAAUUUACUCUGUAAGUGAGUUAUACUAGAUUGUCCGAGAACACAGUGAAGUCUAUUGUCUAACUCCACAUGAAGCCCCUUAAAAGAUUUGUGUUCAUCUUAGGGCAUAUCAAGUAGUGAGUGUUCUCAUAAGAGAGUGUCCUGUUUUCUCGUGGUGAGGUAACAAAACAGAUGGCUCUGGCUUGCCGUUCUCUCACCUAAACUGUCAGUGAGCCAGCCAUCUUGUCUCAUUUCCACAAACAAACAUCCCAGUCCUUGCAAAAUGUGGAAGAACAGAGGAUCUUCAUUCAGCAAUGGCUUUAGCUGUGAAAAGAUGAAAGCAUUUAGCCAUCUCUCAAAUAAGAGUUACCCAGGAGGUGCUGUAUUUUCAUAUAGGCAAAUCUAAGUGAUUUAGGUUUCAAAUAACCCUGUCAUGAAAAAGGGAAUGCAGUCUAUUUGAAUAUCUUGAAAUAAAAUUUUCAAGUAUAGUUUUGUGUGGACAAGAAUUGGGUGAAUGGAAGAGUAUGGAGUCAUAAGCAUCCGACUUCUGUUUUAACCAGGACCUUCAAUGAAGUGGAAUUUCCCUCUUUUUUUUUCGGAGAGGGGGUGAUGCUUUAAGAACUUGUAUCAAGGAUCUUAAAACAAUUUCCAGGAUGUUUCUUGGGAUUGAGCUGCCUUCUAGAUAUCUAAUUCUGUAGAAAUAGAACUGAUGGUCAAAAAGAUAACCCUAAGUAACCAGAAAAUCCCCAAUUAUCAAAAGAAAGAAUCAACUGUGGUCAUUCUACUACUGUACUGAAUAAGAUACGAAAGAGGAGUAAUGCAUUUAUAAACACUUUUUCAGUGAAAUUUUUCAAAAAUUUUGGUUAUUGUUUAAUUAAUUACACAAUUCAGUUGAUUUGGGUCAUGAACUUUCUGGGUAAUUGAGACUUUAUAAGGAUUGGUCUAUAAAGUUGUGUGUAGACAUGCCCUCUUUAAGAAUUCCUAGAAAUGUUUAUUUGACAUUAAAGUCC
rnacentral:lncRNA from 1 species